rnacentral:rRNA from 1 species
CCUACGGGGGGCAGCAGUGGGGAAUAUUGGACAAUGGGGGCAACCCUGAUCCAGCCAUGCCGCGUGUGUGAAGAAGGCCCUCGGGUUGUAAAGCACUUUCAGUGAGGAAGAACGCCUGGUGGUUAAUACCCAUCAGGAAAGACAUCACUCACAGAAGAAGCACCGGCUAACUCCGUGCCAGCAGCCGCGGUAAUACGGAGGGUGCGAGCGUUAAUCGGAAUUACUGGGCGUAAAGCGCGCGUAGGUGGCUUGAUAAGCCGGUUGUGAAAGCCCCGGGCUCAACCUGGGAACGGCAUCCGGAACUGUCAAGCUAGAGUGCAGGAGAGGAAGGUAGAAUUCCCGGUGUAGCGGUGAAAUGCGUAGAGAUCGGGAGGAAUACCAGUGGCGAAGGCGGCCUUCUGGACUGACACUGACACUGAGGUGCGAAAGCGUGGGUAGCAAACAGGAUUAGAUACCCGGGGAGUC